GCUGGGCGCAGUGGCGCGUGCCUGUAGUCCCAGCUACUCGGGAGGCUGAGGUGGGAGGAUCGCUUGAGCCCAGGAGUUCUGGGCUGUAGAGCGCUAUGCCGAUCGGGUGUCCGCACUAAGUUCGGCAUCAAUAUGGUGACCUCCGGGGAGUGGGGGACUACCAGGUUGCUUAAGGAGGGGUGAACGGGCCCAGGUCAGAAACGGAGCAGGUAAAAACUCCUGUGCUGAUCAGUAGUGGGAUCUAGCCUGUGAAUAGCCACUGCCCUCCAGCCUGGGCAACAUAUUGAGACCCUGUCUCU
rnacentral:SRP_RNA from 1 species